CCCUACGGGACGCAGCAGUGAGGAAUAUUGGUCAAUGGUCGGGAGACUGAACCAGCCAAGCCGCGUGAGGGAUGAAGGUACAGAGUAUCGUAAACCUCUUUUGUCAGGGAACAAAGGCGGGGACGCGUCCCCGGAUGAGUGUACCUGAAGAAAAAGCAUCGGCUCACUCCGUGCCAGCAGCCGCGGUAAUACUGAGGAUGCGAUCGUUAUCCGGAUUUAUUUGUUUUAAAGGGUGCGCAGGCGGUCUGUUCAGUCAGCCGUC
rnacentral:rRNA from 1 species